UAUUGUUUCCAUUUUUCGUUUCACUCUUCUUCCCCGACCCCAACACCUAUUGAUCUCUCCAGUGUCCCUUCGUCUAUCUUUCGUUUAAUUCUGUUAAAGGGGAAGGGGUAAAGGAUAACUGUUGAGAUGGGGUUGACGCUUGGACUUUAUAUUAAGAGACCGAUUGACACUGCUGCGUUAGAUUUGGUAAAUUCGGCUGAUUGGCUGCCGGAAAUGGGAUGGAAAUACUUUCCAAAUUAGAAUAUCAAUCAAUUAGGGGAAGAUUGCUCCAUUGGUUCGCUUCGAUGGGUCCAAUCGAUCUGAGGCAGGUGCAUCUAGUUACCCGUCCGUCACGCGUUCCUGAUUCCUGAUCGAGAUCUCACGGUGAGCUGCCCCUUCUGAGCCGUUCAGCAGCAUACCAGAGUUCUCUUCUUUUGUUGUUGUUAUGUAUUGUCUACUCUGUUUCAGACAAUAGGAUAGUGGUAUUUUAUACAUUCUACUAGUUUCCCUAGUACUUGUGACACUAGUUUCUGGCACGCAGUUUGUAGACUAUUAUUUUGAGAUGUAUUUCUAUUAUUUGAA